AGAAGGACCCAUAAUAGCCAUGAUCUUACCAGGUUCAGCAUACCCAUUAAGCCCAUUAAGCAAUCUCCUUGUAGGUCCUUCACUAAAGUUUGGCAACAACACUGUUAAAUCUUCCCAUACCAAGUACAUAGAUCUUCCUACUAUUACUUCUUCUCCUCCUCUUGGUAAACCUGCUGCUGCCUCCGCAUCCCCACAACUACUACUACCACCACCAUCACCAUGACAACUAAUAACCUGCUCUAUCUCCAUAACAUCCAGGCAAAAUUCUUGACCUGGAAUUGGGUAGACGAAAACAAUCCCAGAAAGAGAGUUAUAAAAAGCUGGGUGACAAAGAGAAGACAAUAUAUUGAAUAUCUGGUAACAGAACUAGUGAAAAAAUUACUGUGGUAUUGACCAAGUUCACCAAACCUAAAAGCAGAAGAGAAGAGAAAAGUGAACAUAUAGAAGGAAGCUGAAAGCAGCUGCAGG
rnacentral:misc_RNA from 1 species